rfam:Hordeum vulgare subsp. vulgare, WGS project CAJW01000000 data, contig: morex_contig_134974
AUAUUACUCCCUCCGUCCGGAAUUACUUGUCGUAAAAAUUGAUUAAAAUGGAUGUAUCUAGAACUAAAAUGCAUCUAGAUACAUCCAUUCCUCCGACAAGUAUUUCUGGACAGAGGGAGUAUUUC